rnacentral:rRNA from 1 species
GAUGAACGCUGGCGGCGUGCCUAAUACAUGCAAGUCGAGCGAACAGACGAGGAGCUUGCUCCUCUGACGUUAGCGGCGGACGGGUGAGUAACACGUGGAUAACCUACCUAUAAGACUGGGAUAACUUCGGGAAACCGGAGCUAAUACCGGAUAAUAUAUUGAACCGCAUGGUUCAAUAGUGAAAGACGGUUUUGCUGUCACUUAUAGAUGGAUCCGCGCCGCAUUAGCUAGUUGGUAAGGUAACGGCUUACCAAGGCGACGAUGCGUAGCCGACCUGAGAGGGUGAUCGGCCACACUGGAGCUGAAACACGGUCCAGACUCCUACGGGAGGCAGCAGUAGGGAAUCUUCCGCAGUGGGCGAAAGCCUGGCGGAGCGACGCCGCGUGAGUGAUGAAAGUCUUCGGAUCGUAAAACUCUGUUAUUAGGGAAGAACAAAUGUGUAAGUAACUAUGCACGUCUUGACGGUACCUAAUCAGAAAGCCACGGCUAACUACGUG